UUGCCCUAGACCUCACCUCUAGGGGCAGUCCUAUGGUGACACCAUAAACUUCAGUGGAGAGAGAACCCAUGUGCACCAACAGAAGUGGAGCUGAUCUGCUGAGGUAACAGAAAACUACUCUCCUUGGCAUGAUGAAGACCUAUCAGGACUAAAUGAAGAAUUUAACAGUGGGGAUGUUAGGUCCAGAAGAGCCAGAGCCAGUGGCCUGCUUCCUUCUCUUCACCUUCUUAUGCCAAAGAAACUACCACCAGAAUUGUUGCUGGGAGCCCAGAAGAGAGACUCCUUUACAGCACAGGUUUGAAGGAAUGGAAUUUCUCCAGAUGCAGGACAAGGUAACCCUGUAUUGCUGCUAGCAUUUAAAAACUCAGAGACAGAGGAAAUCUGGGCAGGAGGAGGAACACAGGGCUAUGCUUUCAUAGCAGAAGGGUCCUUUGUGACUGUGGGACCAACUCAGUAAGAAGGAAGCUGGCUGGAGGAGAGAGAGGAAAAACUCCAUGUUCCAGAGGUGAAGUCCUGAGGAGAGAGGCCCAGAAGAGGGGACCUGGAAUCCUGAAAAAGACACUGACCUGAAACCUGAAGAACAUUCCAAAGUGGUGUGGAAACUGAGGCAAGGGAUGGCAUAUAGGUGUGUUGUUGUUUGGUCUAUAUAUAUAUAUAUGUAUUUCUUGUCCUGUCUAAAGUAAAGAGUGAUGGCACUGGAGCCUUUAGCAAAGUUUCUGUGUUAUGUGCUUCAAAUAUCACGUGUCCCUAGUGAGGCAAACUGUAAACCAGAAUGCCCACAAUGUUAGACCUUGGGGAAAGAGUGUUAAGCUACUGGAAAGUCUUGGGAUGAAGGGGUAAUAGACACACAGACAUGAAGGGGUAACAGAAGUGUGCCAGCGAGGCCAAGGAAAGAGACGGUGCUGGAGACUAGGGAAGCUAAAGAGCAUGUGGGGCCGAUGUGGUGGUACCCAAACAUAGCAGCCUGGUGAGGAUUCUGCGGGGCUAGAUUUAUCAGGGCUGUGACAGGAGAUAAUGAAUUCUACAGAGGUGUAAUUUCAAAACUGAAUAGUGAACUUAUUAAUCU